UGUGCCAGCCGCCGCGGUAAUUCCAGCUCCAAUAGCGUAUAUUAAAGUUGUUGUGGUUAAAAAGCUCGUAGUUGAACCUUGGGCCUGGCUGGCCGGUCCGCCUCACCGCGUGCACUGGUCCGGCCGGGCCUUUCCCUCUGCGGAACCCCAUGCCCUUCACUGGGUGUGGCGGGGAAACAGGACUUUUACUUUGAAAAAAUUAGAGUGCUCAAGGCAGGCCUAUGCUCGAAUACAUUAGCAUGGAAUAAUAGAAUAGGACGUGUGGUUCUAUUUUGUUGGUUUCUAGGACCGCCGUAAUGAUUAAUAGGGACAGUCGGGGGCAUCAGUAUUCAAUUGUCAGAGGUGAAAUUCUUGGAUUUAUUGAAGACUAACUACUGCGAAAGCAUUUGCCAAGGAUGUUUUCAUUAAUCAGGAACGAAAGUUAGGGGAUCGAAGACGAUCAGAUACCGUCGUAGUCUUAACCAUAAACUAUGCCGACUAGGGAUCGGACGAUGUUACAUUUUUGACGCGUUCGGCGCCUUACGAGAAAUCAAAGUGCUUGGGCUCCAGGGGGAGUAUGGUCGCAAGGCUGAAACUUAAAGAAAUUGACGGAAGGGCACCACCAGGGGUGGAGCCUGCGGCUUAAUUUGACUCAACACGGGGAAACUCACCAGUCCAGACACAAUGAGGAUUGACAGAUUGAGAGCUCUUUCUUGAUUUUGUGGGUGGUGGUGCAUGGCCGUUCUUAGUUGGUGGAGUGAUUUGUCUGCUAUGCGAUACGACGAGACCUUACUGCUAAUAGCCCGUAUGCUUGCAGUACGCGGCUCUAGAGGACUAUCGGCUCAAGCCGAUGGAAGU
rnacentral:rRNA from 1 species